rnacentral:rRNA from 1 species
UACGAAGGGGGCUAGCGUUGUUCGGAAUCACUGGGCGUAAAGCGCACGUAGGCGGAUCUUUAAGUCAGGGGUGAAAUCCCGAGGCUCAACCUCGGAACUGCCUUUGAUACUGGGGAUCUCGAGUUCGGGAGAGGUGAGUGGAACUGCGAGUGUAGAGGUGAAAUUCGUAGAUAUUCGCAAGAACACCAGUGGCGAAGGCGGACUCACUGGCCCGAUACUGACGCUGAGGUGCGAAAGCGUGGGGAGCAAACAGG